rnacentral:lncRNA from 1 species
GGCGCGUCGGGACCGGGUGGGGCGGGCAGGGCGCGUCCCCUACCUUGCUCUGGGGAGGGGGAACGGGAGCAGCGCAGAACUGAGGGGAUCUCCUCCCUGGCGCCGGGGACAGGCUCGAAACCGCGCCCCUCCUUCCUCCUUUCCUGUCGCCACGCCCCCCUCACCCGUACGGACCCGAGGCAAGGCCGGCGCAGGAGGCUUCACCCCCGGAACGAGUGCUUCGGCGUAGCCGUCGCUGUCGUUGUCUUCGUCGCCGCUGCAGCCGCCUGUAAAGCCGCCGGAGCCGGGCUUGAAAACAUCUCCGGUCUCGGUCCGUCUCUCACCACAGCCUCCUCGCUCCCAAGACAGCGUCGCCCCGCGAUUGGCUGCGACGCGAGCACGUGACACCCGCGGACACGUGACUACCGCGGGCACGGGACGGGCGGCGUGACCGCCCCGCCCCCCGGCGCCCGCCCCUCCUGCUGCUCAGCCAGGCUCCGCGAGCCGCAGGGCGGGGAAGCGGGACGUACCAAGCGGCAGGCGGCGGAGGGGUGCGGGCCGGAACUCCGCCCUUAGUGCUGGUCGGUCUCCACGCCCCACUCGGACUAGUGUCACCGCCUCCCCGCCGCAGACACUAUCCGACAAAGGAGGGGGAAUCAAAGGCUGGGCGAAGAGGCAGGGCAGGCGCCCGUGACGCUGCUGGGCAAGCGGGCUCUGCAGUAGCAUUUGUGGCGACCGUGGCAGUGGCUGUGACUGGAAGCUUCUGGAAAUGGCGGCGAUGAGGACCCCCACAUAGGGUAUUCACCUGUUAUUUUUACACGGGGUGGGUGGACGAGCGUGAUCCAACUCAGGCAAAAUGACGCUGCGACCGCAGCCCGAGGACUAGGCGAAGUUCCCCCGCUAAGCCGGCGGCGGCCGUCUAGCCCCACACCAGGCCGGAGAAGCUGCAGCUACGCCCAGAGCCCGCGGCCCCCCGCCUCAGGUGGGGCCCUGGGCCCCGCCCCGAAAGCGCGAUAGCGUGCACCUGCCCUGGGACCAGGGGGUCUAGAGCGCGUCCCCUCCCAGCCACGCCUUCCAGUGGCCUUUUUAAAGAGGAAUUCAGUGCAUCCUCCCACACGUAGUGUUGGGGAUUUGAGAGGGAGCUGCUCAGGUACUAGGAAGGAUGCCGGAGGAAAAUUGACCGUCGCAGCGUGGCAGCAGCGUGUACUCACUCCCUUCUGGGCGCGUUAUUUACGUAGAGGUUAAUCUGCAACAACAGCGUCUGUUUAUGACUUAGUGCAUGCAGUUACAAGUUUAUGUUACACUGUCCUUUAACGUCUUGAUGAACUGAGGGUUCAGGUGUGAUCACAGCAGAUGAAGUGACAUUCAGACCUGACAGGGAAGGCGAGGUCCCAUCAAAUUACUAUAUAAAGCAUAAACCUGCAUUAAAGAUCAGGAGUUUUUCCUUUCCUGGGUUCCUGAUUUCUCCUACCUACAAAUCUUUAGGGUCAACAAGACUAGAAAAAGAGCACCUUAUGGCUAGAGGUGGAAUAGUGUUACAUUUAACUUGGUUAUUUAUGAUGUGAAAUACAAAGAAAAAAACAGUCGCCUAUGAGAAAGUCAGGAGAGCUCCAGGGAUGGCCAUAGCAGCCACAAAAGGAAGCAAACAAGAACAAGUCCUGAUGGAGCAAUUUAUGAAGACAGGCAGCAUAGAGGAAGAAGAACCUGUCUGUCAACCCCACACACGCUUUCCCAGGUAAUUGCUCACCUCUGCCCUGUCUGACCUCUGUUUCUAGAGCCCAGCUCAGACUUACUGUAUGUCACCCCUCCACCACUAUUCCCUGGCUUUGCUAAU